CCUACGGGUGGCAGCAGUCGGGAAUAUUGCGCAAUGGAGGAAACUCUGACGCAGUGACGCCGCGUAUAGGAAGAAGGUUUUCGGAUUGUAAACUAUUGUCGUUAGGGAAGAUAAAAGACUGUACCUAAGGAGGACGCCCCGGCUAACUAUGUGCCAGCAGCCGCGGGAAUACAUAGGGGGCAAGCGUUAUCCGGAAUUAUUGGGUGUAAAGGGUGCGUAGACGGGUUGUUAAGUCAGUUGUGAAAGUUUGCGGAUCAACCGUAAAAUUGCAAUUGAUAUUGGCAGUCUUGAGUACAGAUGAGGUAGGCGGAAUUCGAGGUGUAGCGGUGAAAUGCGUAGAUAUAAGGAAGAACACCAAUGGCGAAGGCAGCUUACUAGUCUGCCACUGACGUUGAUGCUCGAAAGUGUGGGGAUCAAACAGGAUUAGAUACCCUUGUAGUC
rnacentral:rRNA from 1 species